CCGAGGGGAGAGAGGGUGCGCAGACGGCCAGCCGGGCCGCGCCAGGGACAUACUGGAGACAGGAAGUGGCUGAGAGGGGGAGAGAGUUGGAGAGAGACGGCCGCGGAGGACACGGGGACGGGAAAGUCUGAGAGACGGGGAGAGCCUGACCCGGCGGGACACAGGCAGAAAGAAACACGCGAGCCAGACAGACGCAGAAGAAACGUGCCUGGUACUGGAUAGGAACUUCAUGGAAUGGAGCUAAUGGGCCGUAGGGCAGGUUUGAGUCGUGCCACCCUGGAGCAGAAGGUGGAGGGUAGGGAUAAGGGUGGAGAGAAACUAGGAGAAAAGCACAGGAUGUAGAGGUCUAUUCGGCAUAAUCUUCUCCCUCAUUUUCAUCUUCACCAUCAACAGAGAGAGCAGCAUACUUGCUUGCAGAACUGAACUUGGAAGCUGGAUUUUCCUCAGGUUUCUUUGGCUCAGGUGCAGAUCUGGAGUCUUGAUCCUUUUUGCCAUCUUUCCUGCAGAGACGUAAGCAUAAAACCAUGUCUUUAGGAAAGGACUCGCCUAAUACAAACAUGUGUAUGCAUGCAGUUUCAAGGCACUGAACAGGCACCUCUAGUCAACAGUCCUUGUUGUCUGGAUGAUGUAUUACUUCUAGAUUUUCAGAAUCUUAACUGUCUACGUUGGCUGACUUUAGUUUGCUCACAAUGAGCGAUCUGGCAGUGCUCUGAGAACCAAGAACUUAAUUUCUUAAUUACACAAACAUGUGGAUCAGAGGAAAGAUGAGAAAGAGAACAAGCAUACCUAUCUGACUCCUUCCAGUGGUCUCUGUUCCCUCCGUCGCCUGGACCACGGCUAGAGUUCCCAGUUUGGCCUUUUGGGGCAUUCAUCCCAUCUACUUUAUUUUCAUCUGCUUGGGCAGUAAUGUAAACAAAUUAAAGGCAAGUAAAAGUAUCAAUGUCCCUCUCCUAAGAUUUCCCUUAAGCUGAAGAAAAUUGUGCCCACAUGUACUGAGGGAAACUAACCUCACCCCAACCCAGACUUCCUUCCUGAAGCCCUUCUUUCCACAUCCUCUACAGCACACAAAAAUACAAAAAACAAACAAAAUCCACUAAAAAGUUCCAUGUAGGGAUAUGCCAUCAUGAAAAGCAAGCUGGAAAUAAAGAUUAUGACGCUCUGUAGUG
rnacentral:lncRNA from 10 species